CCUACGGGAGGCAGCAGUGGGGAAUUUUGGACAAUGGGCGCAAGCCUGAUCCAGCAAUGCCGCGUGCAGGAUGAAGGCCUUCGGGUUGUAAACUGCUUUUGUACGGAACGAAAAGGCUCUCUCUAAUACAGAGAGCCGAUGACGGUACCGUAAGAAUAAGCACCGGCUAACUACGUGCCAGCAGCCGCGGUAAU
rnacentral:rRNA from 1 species